CUGUCCUACGGGACGCAGCAGUGGGGAAUAUUGGGCAAUGGGCGCAAGCCUGACCCAGCAACGCCGCGUGAAGGAAGAAGGCCCUCGGGUUGUAAACUUCUUUUAUUCGGGACGAAACAAAUGACGGUACCGAAUGAAUAAGCCACGGCUAACUACGUGCCAGCAGCCGCGGUAAUACGUAGGUGGCAAGCGUUAUCCGGAUUUAUUGGGUGUAAAGGGCGUGUAGGCGGGAAAGCAAGUCAGAUGUGAAAACUCAGGGCUCAACCCUGAGCCUGCAUUUGAAACUGUUUUUCUUGAGUGCUGGG
rnacentral:rRNA from 1 species